rnacentral:lncRNA from 1 species
ACCAAACAGCAGGCUGUCUUGAGGCUGGCUGCAGUGCACAGACAUCUUGACGGACGUGCAAGGCUGUGGGGUCUGAUCUGGCAACCCAAAGGCCCAUCUGAGGCGCUGCCAGUCUUUUAGAACUCCAGGUGUCACCACACAAAGGGAAUGUUGGAGAUCCAAAACUACUGCAUGCUUUGGGAGGAGACUAAAUGACACCCAAAGAUUGAACUUCUUUGUCAAGGCCACUGCAAAGCAGCAGCCGGUCUCUGCUCUCCAGGGUGGGCCACACGUAUUCCCCGGGGUUGUUUUCUGUAUCAGGCCUGGGCAGACCCUUCUGAAAAAAGCUGCUACUGAACCCACAGACAGUGGAGCAAGCAGAGUUAUGAAAAGGAAUAAUGAUUCCGGGACUCACUCCUCUCCAAGUGAUUGGCUUUAAGCUGAGAGUCUUAGAUUUCUGGAUUCAACUUUGAUGGCAAGCCACUCAGGAUUUUGUCCAGGCUGCUCUUUACUGAAACUACUGAACAAUCUCUACAGCAUAAGGAUUAAAAAAGAAAGGUCACCUUGGAGGCCUGUGGGUCCUGGAACAAGAGCCAGCUCAGUAAAAAUUAUGAC